rnacentral:rRNA from 1 species
CAUCCUACGGGGCGCAACAGUGGGGAAUAUUGCACAAUGGGGGGAACCCUGAUGCAGCGACGCCGCGUGAGCGAUGAAGUAUUUCGGUAUGUAAAGCUCUAUCAGCAGGGAAGAAAAUGACGGUACCUGACUAAGAAGCCCCGGCUAACUACGUGCCAGCAGCCGCGGUAAUACGUAGGGGGCAAGCGUUAUCCGGAUUUACUGGGUUUAAAGGGUGCGCAGGCGGUCUGUUAAGUCAGCGGUCAAAGCCCGGGGCUCAACCCCGGCCCGCCGUUGAAACUGGCAGUCUCGAGUUGGAGAGAAGU